AGAGUUUGCUCUUGGCUCAAGAUGAACGCUGGCGGCGUGCUUAACACAUGCAAGUCGAGCAAAGCGGUUUCAAUGAAGUUUUCGGAUGGACUUGAAAUCGACUUAGAGGCGGACGGGUGAGUAACGCUGUGGGUAACCUGCCUUACUCUGGGGGAUAACAGUUAGAAAUGACUGCUAAUACCGCAUCCGCGCACAGGGGGGCAUGGGCUGGUGUGAAAAACUCCGGUGGUGUAAGAUGGACCCGCGUCUGAUUAGGUAGUUGGUGGGGUAACGGCCCACCAAGCCGACGAUCAGUAGCCGACCUGAGAGGGUGACCGCCCACAUUGGGACUGAGACACGGCCCACACUCCUACGGGAGGCAGCAGUGGGGAAUAUUGGACAAUGGGCGAAAGCCUGAUCCAGCGACGCCGCGUGAGUGAAGAAGUAUUUCGGUAUGUAAAGCUCUAUCAGCAGGGAAGAAAAUGACAGUACCUGACUAAGAAGCCCCGGCUAACUACGUGCCAGCACCCGCGGUAAUACGUAGGGGGCAAGCGUUAUCCGGAUUUACUGGGUGUAAAGGGAGCGUAGACGGUUAAGCAAGUCUGAAGUGAAAGCCCGGGGCUCAACCCCGGUACUGCUUUGGAAACUGUUUGACUUGAGUGCAGGAGAGGGAACCGGAAUUCUCGGUGUAGCAGUGAAAUGCGUAGAUAUCGAGAGGAACACUCGUGGCGAAGGCGGGUUCCUGGACAUUAACUGACGCUGAGGCACGAAGGCCAGGGGAGCGAAAGGGAUUAGACACCCCUGUAGUCCUGGCAGUAAACGGUG
rnacentral:rRNA from 1 species